UACAGAGGGUGCAAGCGUUACUCGGAAUUACUGGGCGUAAAGCGUGCGCAGGCGGUUUGCUAAGACCGAUGUGAAAUCCCCGGGCUUAACCUGGGAACUGCAUUGGUGACUGGCAAGCUAGAGUGUGGCAGAGGGGGGUAGAAUUCCACGUGUAGCAGUGAAAUGCGUAGAGAUGUGGAGGAAUACCGAUGGCGAAGGCAGCCCCCUGGGCCAACACUGACGCUCAUGCACGAAAGCGUGGGGAGCAAACAGG
rnacentral:rRNA from 1 species